CUGUGUCAGCCCUUUGAGGUUACCGCCACGCAGUACUGGUCAAAUCUGGAGUAAUUAUACCACCAAAAUAGUUUUUGAAUAUUUCCCUCAAAGUUAUAUAGUUUCUGAAAUACCCAUACAUUAUAAUAAAUUGCAAUUUAUAACAAUACUUAAUCAUUAUUAAUUAAUAUACUAAUAAUAUAGACAGGUACCUUCAAUUCAAUUUCAUUCAAUAGGUUCAAUUUUUAAUUUCAAUAAAAACAAAAUAGCAAUUCUAUUUAUGAACACUUCUUACUUUGAACCUAUGUAGUUCUAAGAACACUUUACUGUCUAGUAUUUCAGGUGAAUCACAACCUUAGGAGUUC